rnacentral:rRNA from 1 species
AUGCACGCUAGCUACAGGCUUAACCCAUGCAAGUCGAGGGGAAACGGCAUCGAAAGCUUGCUUUUGAUGGGCGUCGACCGGCGCACGGGUGAGUAACGCGUAUCCAACCUGCCCAUCACUUGGGAAUAACCUUGCGAAAGUAAGACUAAUGCCCAAUGACAUCCCACGAAGGCAUCCGAAUGGGAUUAAAGAUUUAUCGGUGAUGGAUGGGGAUGCGUCUGAUUAGCUUGUUGGCGGGGUGACGGCCCACCAAGGCAACGAUCAGUAGGGGUUCUGAGAGGAAGGUCCCCCACAUUGGAACUGAGACACGGUCCAAACUCCUACGGGAGGCAGCAGUGAGGAAUAUUGGUCAAUGGGCGAGAGCCUGAACCAGCCAAGUAGCGUGCAGGAUGACGGCCCUAUGGGUUGUAAACUGCCUUUAUAAGGGAAUAAAGUGGGUCACGUGUGACUUUUUGCAUGUACCUUAUGAAUAAGGACCGGCUAAUUCCGUG